AAAACAGCCCUACGGGAGGCAGCAGUGGGGAAUUUUGGACAAUGGGCGCAAGCCUGAUCCAGCCAUGCCGCGUGCGGGAAGAAGGCCUUCGGGUUGUAAACCGCUUUUGUCAGGGAAGAAACGCUCCGGGCUAAUACCCUGGGGUAAUGACGGUACCUGAAGAAUAAGCACCGGCUAACUACGUGCCAGCAGCCGCGGUAAUACGUAGGGUGCAAGCGUUAAUCGGAAUUACUGGGCGUAAAGCGUGCGCAGGCGGUUAUGCAAGACAGAUGUGAAAUCCCGGGCUCAACCUGGGAACUGCAUUUGUGACUGCAUGGCUAGAGUGCGGCAGAGGGGGAUG
rnacentral:rRNA from 1 species